UAAAAUAAACAUGUUAUCUCACAGUCUCUGUGGGUCAGGAAUUUGGGAGCAAUUUAGCUGGGUGAUUCUGGCUCCAGGUCACUAAUUAGAUUGUAUUCAGACUGUCAACCAGGGCUGCAGUCACCUGAAGGCUUGACUGGGGCUGGGAGAUCCCUUUCCAAGAUAGCACAUUAGCCAUUGGCAGGAGGCCUCAGCUCCUCACCACAUGGGCCUCUCUUCACAGCGCUGCUUGAAUGACAUGGCAGUUGGCUGACCCUGGAGCAAGUGACCCAAGACAUAGAAAACAGGAGGAAGCUGCACUGUCUUGUUUGACCUAGUCUCAGAGGGCACACAUCAUUGCUUCUGCCAUAUUCUGUUCUAUAGAAGCAUGUCACUAAGUCCAGCACACAUGUUUGGGGAGGGGAAUCGAGCCACCUCUUGAAAGGAGAAGUAUCAAGGACUCUGUGAACAUGUUUUAGGACUAUGAUGUCAUGGCAGUUAUGAAAACUAAUGUGUCAGUGCUGUAUGUACUGAUAUGAAGCAAUCUCCAAGAUGUAUCUUCAGUGACAACAGCAUGAUGCAGAACGCUAGGCAUGAAAACAGCCCUGGAAGUCUGCCCUGGCGCCUGCACUGAGACUAAUCCAGGUCACUUUAGGGAAACUGCCCAGCUCUGGCACCGCACUGUGUGUCUGUCAGCUCUGUGGGGUGCUAUGGCCUCAUUUUCCCACUAGAGGACACUGUGGCUCCAGGACUUCAUGUGGCGCCCAGCCAGUCUUGCUACUCCAGCACCUCUAAGGAGGCAAAGCCUUUAGUGUGCAUUUAUUAGGUACCAACUGGGUGCUUUCUGUAUCAAGCAGAGAAAUAAAAGAGGUCAAACACAA